GAUGAACGCUGGCGGCGUGCCUAAUACAUGCAAGUCGAGCGAACGGACGAGAAGCUUGCUUCUCUGAUGUUAGCGGCGGACGGGUGAGUAACACGUGGAUAACCUACCUAUAAGACUGGGAUAACUUCGGGAAACCGGAGCUAAUACCGGAUGAUAUUUUGAACCGCAUGGUUCAAAAGUGAAAGACGGUCUUGCUGUCACUUAUAGAUGGAUCCGCGCUGCAUUAGCUAGUUGGUAAGGUAACGGCUUAUCAAGGCAACGAUGCAUAGCCGACCUGAGGGGGUGAUCGGCCACACUGGAACUGAGACACGGUCCAGACUCCUACGGGAGGCAGCAGUAGGGAAUCUUCCGCAAUGGGCGAAAGCCUGACGGAGCAACGCCGCGUGAGUGAUGAAGGUCUUCGGAUCGUAAAACUCUGUUAUUAGGGAAGAACAUAUGUGUAAGUAACUGUGCACAUCUUGACGGUACCUAAUCAGAAAGCCACGGCUAACUACGUG
rnacentral:rRNA from 1 species